rnacentral:rRNA from 1 species
GAUGAACGCUGGCGGCGUGCUUAACACAUGCAAGUCGAACGGAGUGCCAAUGACAGAGGAUUCGUCCAAUGGAUUUGGUUACUUAGUGGCGGACGGGUGAGUAACGCGUGAGGAACCUGCCUCGGAGCGGGGAAUAACACAGUGAAAAUUGUGCUAAUACCGCAUAAUGCAGUUGGGUCGCAUGGCUCUGACUGCCAAAGAUUUAUCGCUCUGAGAUGGCCUCGCGUCUGAUUAGCUAGUUGGCGGGGUAACGGCCCACCAAGGCGACGAUCAGUAGCCGGACUGAGAGGUUGGCCGGCCACAUUGGGACUGAGACACGGCCCAG